rnacentral:rRNA from 1 species
AAGUCAGAUGUGAAAGCCCCCGGGGCUUAACCNUGGGAGUGGGCAUUUGAGACUGGNCAGGCUAGAGUNUUGUAGAGGGGGGGUAGAAUUCCAGGUGUAGCGGUGAAAUGCGUAGAGAUCUGGAGGAAUAUCGGUGGCGAAGGCGGCCCCCUGGACAAAGACUGACGCUCAGAUGCGAAAGCGUGGGUAGCAAACAGGAUUAGAUACCCUGGUAGUCCACGCCGUAAACGAUGUCUACUUGAAGGUUGGGAUCUUGAAUUCUGGCCUUCGGAGCUAACGCGUUAAGUAGACCGCCUGGGGAGUACGGUCGCAAGAUUAAAACUCAAAUGAAUUNACGGGGGCCCGCACAAGCGGUGGAGCAUGUGGUUUAAUUNGAUGCAACGCGAANAACCUUACCUACUCUUGACAUCCAGAGAAGCCAGCAGAGAUGCAGGUGUGCCUUCGGGAACUCUGAGACAGGUGCUGCAUGGCUGUCGUCAGCUCGUGUUGUGAAAUGUUGGGUUAAGUCCCGCAACGAGCGCAACCCUUAUCCUUGUUUGCCAGCACGUAAUGGUGGGAACUCCAGGGAGACUGCCGGUGAUAAACCGGAGGAAGGUGGGGACGACGUCAAGUCAUCAUGGCCCUUACGAGUAGGGCUACACACGUGCUACAAUGGUGCAUACAGAGGGAAGCAAGAGCGCGAGCUGGAGCGGAUCCCAAAAAGUGCAUCGUAGUCCGGAU